rnacentral:lncRNA from 1 species
GAAAAAAAUAUUCAAUUUAAAUGAUCGCGCAUCGAGAAAUUUCAAAAACAAAAAAAUACGAUGCGGGUUUCCCGUUCACACGAUGAUUUAAUUGGACGAAAAAAAUUCACAGAUCUGACGCACACGUUCACGCGCAUAUUAUACCUAGAUUACAGAAAUGCAUACACACGGAAAAACGUAUUUCCAGUGGAAAAAGUUGAAAGAUUGAAAAAGGAGAUAGGGUGGUAUCUAGCCGUCGGUGAUUUCACUUUGCAAUUAGCAUUGGUUUUACCUUGAUAUGCGAAAAAAAAGGGAGUAAAAAAAGAAAGGUGGAGAAGGAGGAGGAGGAGGAGGUGGCUUGUUGGUGAGCGCCGGUAGUUGAGCGUCAUCAGGCAUUCAUUUGCAACUAAUGACGAACCGGUAACAUUCCUGGAGUAUCAGUAAAACUGACAUCUACAAGACACAUAUGAACUAGUAGGAGAGACACGUUCUUCUGACUUGAUAGAUAAAUGGCUGGUACGAAGUAACGAGCUGCAAUAGCAGCAGCAGCAGCAGCAGAAUCAACAGUAGAUGCAGUUUCUGACGAUUCGAGAACUGUGAAACUAACUCGCCGAUUUAACCGACGCGCAUCUACCAACUUUUCGACUUUUCUUCUUUUUUUUUUUCUUUUCGAAUAACCGAGCUAACUUUCACGUCACUCACUGUCACCAAAUCUAAUCCCUACAAUUCUUCUAACUUUUUAGGCCUAUUCAUUUUAUCAAAUUUAGAAAAUGAUUUGAUCGUUAAAAUGGGAAUAUCGAUCGGUAUAAAAAUUAGCCAAGAUCGUGGAAUAGCACGAUCUCGAAAGUUUUUCUAAUAAAGUUGACAAGAAAACGAGUUGAAGCGGCAAUAUUUUCACCUUUGCACCGAAAGUUAAGUACAAUGGUACUUCUCGAUUCGAGGUCUUUGUGUCGAAGGAUCGAAGAUAUGGAACGGGGAUCGAAGAAUAGAAUAAAAUAGAAAGAGACACAGAGAAACAGA